GUAGGGAAUAUUGGACAAUGGGGGGAACCCUGAUCCAGCCAUGCCGCGUGGAGGAAGACUGCCCUCUGGGUUGUAAACUCCUUUUAUAUGGGAAGAACCGUCCUCAUUAAUGAGUGACCUGACGGUACCAUAGGAAUAAGCACCGGCUAACUCCGUGCCAGCAGCCGCGGUAAUACGGAGGGUGCAAGCGUUAUCCGGAUUCACUGGGUUUAAAGGGUGCGUAGGCGGAUAGAUAAGUCAGUGGUGAAAUCAACGGGCUCAACCUGUUAACUGCCAUUGAUACUGUGUAUCUUGAAUAUGAGAGAGGUAGGCGGAAUGUUGCAUGUAGCGGUGAAAUGCUUAGAUAUGCUACGGAACACCGAUUGCGAAGGCAGCUUACUAUUUCGUAAUUGACGCUGAGGCACGAAAGCGUGGGUAGCGAACAGGAUUAGAUACCCCGGUAGUCC
rnacentral:rRNA from 1 species